CCAAAACCUAGGGUUUUCACUCCAAGCCAUGGAUUCUUUCUAAAAACGUUUUUAUGAUUUAAUUAUCUUAUAUUAUUGUUUAGUUUCUGUUUUAUGGUGGUUUUAUGAUAAAAUAUUUAUUGAAUCCAUGAAUUACCCUAAUUUCCCAAAUUGGAUCUUAAAGUGUGGGUGUUGAUGGUAUUAGUAGAAUGUUAUAGAAUCAUGAAUAUAAUGAAUUGAUUACUUGAAUUAUGUAUUUAUUAAGGAAUUUAUAUAGUUUUGAUGUUGAAUUUCCUCCAAGAUCGCAUGAACCCCCAUGUCCCCAAUGUGUGACUAUGUGAUAUGGGUGAGUUAUGGUGAGAUGAAUAUUAUGAGAUUAUCUUGUACUAGCUUAGUUAUUUGAAUCAUAUUACCAUCUAUAUCUAAUGUAGCAAUUCUAGAUAGAUUGGUUGAAUGUGAUCUAUAGUCCUUGAAGGGUGAAACUUGAGAAUUUGCUAUGUGUAUGAGACUUGCGUGUAUACAAUUAGAUUGCUUUGAGAGUGAAGUGCUUAUAUUAUGAUCUAAUUGUGGUGUUGAUUGGAUGAUUAUCCUCAUGUACACACUUAGGUAUGAAUGUCAUAUAAUGUGAAAGGUUUGUCACAUAUAGUGAUUCUAAGGGUUGAAGACUAGUCUCCCCUAAUGAAUUUAAGAGCUUUAGCAUGAUUUGUUGGAUUGAGUGUCAAGACAUUCUUCCUUAAUUAUCAAUUUAAGUAAAGACUUAAUAUAAACACAAUGAGAAUUAUGCUUAGCACCGAGCAAAUAUGAAUAUGAGAUGGAAGCUUAUACGAUAGUUGAGUCUGGCUUCCCCUUGAAAGUUUUUACACUAGUUGAGUCCGGCUUUCUAAAUGGGUUCCUUUUACACUAGUUGAGUCCGGGUUCCUAAAGUAGUUAUCUCAUGAGAUGGAAACCUUAUACAUUAGUUGAGUCUAGGGUUUUAGUAGCAAUCUCCUUAUCCCAUAACUAUGUGCCCACAUAGGUUACUUAUAAAUUGGUUUCACCCAAGCUAAGAGUAUAGUUCUACCCUUGGCAAGUAGACCAACCCCUUUUCGGUGUGGGGGAGACACUUUAUUCCAUGAAUAAUCUCUCAUGGUCUAUGCCGGUUACACCUAACUCCCACAAGAUCAAGUUAAUUAGGAUGAACUAUGGCUAUUCAAGAAGCACUACUUAGUGUGGGUGGGGGUAUAGGACUUUAUCCAUGCAUUGCACGAGUAGGCUUUGAGAGUAGUUAUGGUAGAUUCCUCUUUUGGCAUGAUUAUUCAUGUAGUGAAUAUGUGUGUGACUAGAUGGCAAUUGCAUUAGAUGUUAAUGCUACUUGUAAUGGUGUAUGGUAACUUGCAUUGUUGCCAUGGGUUGCUUUCCUUGAUAUGGUUGACUAAAGAUGAAUGUUUCCUUGUCUAUGAGAAAUAGGCUAAAGGUGAGAUUAAAUGUUGGUAAACAUGAAUGAGGAUCUAAAGUGACUUGGCUUGGUAUGGGUGGGAUUAUGGGGUCUUAUCCAUGCAUUUCACAAGCCUACCUUGAGGUAGCUCAUGAAGUGUAUCUCUCAUGUCAUACUAAAACUAGAUUGUAUUGGCUAUGUAUAUGUUCCUAAUGAUAUUUCUUAUACUCAUUAGUUGGGAUUGUUAUCUAUCAUGCUAUAGUCUAUGCCUUAUUAUGAUGUCUCUUAUGCUUAUUACUUGUGUUUUGACACUACUUUCUAAAUGAUGGUUUAAAUUAGCAAAGUGCAUGCAUUCAACUAAAUUGUCCCUUUUAGCAUGUUUUCAAAGGUUUUUAUGCAUGGAUAUCAUACUUGGUGCAUUUUUUUACUAACCCAUAUUCUUCUACAUUUUUCACAAAGUGUAGGAUUUGGCGACAUUGACUUCCAUCUUCGUGGCUAGGAUCAUAGUAGAUCAAGAAGAAAAAGUUUGGUGAGUCCUCAUAGUAUUCGAGGGCUUGACCAUUAUGUCCUUUGAGUCUUUUCUUAUGUUUUAGACUUUUGUAAGGGUUGUGUCCCGAAGAUUGUAUUCAAAUGUUAUAGAUGGUUUGAGACAUAGUGUUGUAGACUCCCACUUAUUUUUAUAAAAGACUUCGACUGUAAAGAAAAGUUUUAAAUUUCCGCACUAUUUCCUAUGUUCUAAUGUUAUGAGGCUUGUAUGAGGCUUUUCGGAGUCUUGUACAUCAUGUCACAUCUAGGGGAUAGCCUUGGGCCGUGACAAUGGAAUCUACAUGAAAUCAUGUCACACAACCAUUAUAGGCAGAAUAUUAACACGUCAGUGUCAAAGUAGCAAUUUUAGAGCUUACUAGCAGAGUAAUUAGCUCACCAGACCCAUUGUAAAUGUAUGCUUCAUUACCUUUUCUUCUCCAAAUUAAUGACGUAACAUACAUUUUUGCAGCAGCUAUUAACAAGUGGAGGCCUACACAGUAGUCAAC
rnacentral:lncRNA from 1 species